UUUCCGUAGGUGAACCUGCGGAAGGAUCAUUACCGAGUGAGGGCCCUCUGGGUCCAACCUCCCACCCGUGUUUAUCGUACCUUGUUGCUUCGGCGGGCCCGCCUCACGGCCGCCGGGGGGCACCCGCCCCCGGGCCCGCGCCCACCGAAGACACCAUUGAACGCUGUCUGAAGAUUGCAGUCUGAGCAUCUUAGCUAAAUCAGUUAAAACUUUCAACAACGGAUCUCUUGGUUCCG
rnacentral:misc_RNA from 1 species